rnacentral:lncRNA from 1 species
UAUUAUUAAGUACAUGGGCAUAAUUGAAGGUAAUCUGAAGAAAUAUAGAUACAACUGCUUUCUUCACAUUACGUUGUCAUUAUAACUAACAACAUUUAAAUGUAGGCAUGUACUUACUGACAAAUUUUGGUGAUAAAUCAUAAAGUAAAUAUUCACAUUUUAUAUACUUAAUGGCAGUGGAUACUCUGCCAUUAAGUUCUCAGGGUACUCUGAUUGACUACUCUUUGAAACCUCUAACCUUUACCUUCCUUGAAAAAUAAAGCAGGGGCUGGCCUGGUCACAUAGUGGUUAAGUUCAUGCACUCUGCUGCAGUGGCCCAGGGUUCACAGGUUCGGAUUCCAGGCAUGGACCUAUACUGCUCAUCAAGCCAUGCUGUGGCGGCAUCUCACAUAUAAAACAGAAGAAGACUGCCACAGAUGUUAGCUCAGGGACAAUCUUCCUCACCAAAAAAAAUGGAAUGGCCAUAGCUUGGUGUUCCGACUGAUAACAUGUGUGGGCCACGGGGAGACAGAGUGUGAUACUCGAACAAUGUCCACUCCCAAGAAACACUGUGAACCAACCAGCUCUGAUGGCUGCCAUGGUAGUAGCCCCAGCAGGCUGCCCAGCCUCCAGCUCUGCUCCCAGACCCACACUUCAGGGUUUGCUUCAAAAGCCACUGGUCCCUAAGCCACCUUGUACCCUGGAAGCGGUUUUUAAAAAAAUAAAAAACAAAAGUAAAGUAAAACUCUUCUAUCUAUAAGUGGGGUAUAAAUAUUGUGAGAGAAUAGAUGCAUGUAAUUAUCAUUUACUCUCUCAGGCAAGUAGUCUACUCAGAAAACAAAAAAAACUUCCCUCAUGGUAGCAUACCUCUAUGGUAGAAGUUUAGGAAUUUAAAAUGUAACCUCAGUCUCUCCACUGCCUGCCCUCUACUCUACUUAGUCUGGUCUUAUAUCUAGUUUAGACCCCCCAAGUUCUCCACAUUGCCCUCAGCUCUGCCACUGCCCACACUCAUCCAUGUCCCGACUGUUGCCUAUGGUGAGAGUUACACUGGAGCCAUUAUCGUUUCUUUUAUCACCAUUCAGAAGCAGAAGCAUUUGUUUGGUUGUAGUUCUCACCAUUGAUUCAUUCAACAUAUAUGUAUUUCAUGACUGUUACAUGUCAGAUAUUUUUCUCGUCACUGGGGACACAAAUGUAAACAAGAAACUUCUACUUGUUCUAAUGGAACUUAGCAAAGCCACCAUUCUACCCAGAUAUCAUGGCAGUGGGGUUGGGGAAGGAAGGGGAGAAGACAGGAGAAGUGAUGAGUGGAGCCAGAUCCCCAGCCUCCAAUCUCUGGUGCUGGGAAGAAACCAGGCAGCAGUGGACUGUGGUGAGGAAUACUACUCUGAAUGUGACCAAAAGGAGCACAUACACUUAUCCAGGUAGUAGAAACAGACUCAUCAAGCCUCAUACUGAUCUAAAAUAAAUAUUUCCAUUUUUUUCUGAAUCCA